UACAGAGGGUGCGAGCGUUGUUCGGAAUUAUUGGGCGUAAAGGGCGCGUAGGCGGUGCGGUAAGUCACCUGUGAAAUCUCCUGGCUCAACUGGGAGCUUGCAGGCGAAACUGCCGUGCUGGAGUGUGGGAGAGGUGCGUGGAAUUCCCGGUGUAGCGGUGAAAUGCGUAGAUAUCGGGAGGAAUACCUGUGGCGAAAGCGGCGCACUGGACCACAACUGACGCUGAGGCGCGAAAGCUAGGGGAGCAAACAGG
rnacentral:rRNA from 1 species